UGCAGUCGAGCGGUACAUGCCUUCGGGUGAUGACGAGCGGCGGACGGGUGAGUAAUGCUUGGGUAUCUGCCCGAUGGAGGGGGACAACCACUGGAAACGGUGGCUAAUACCGCAUAAUGUCUACGGACCAAAGCGUGGGACCUUCGGGCCACGUACCAUCGGAUGAGCCCAAGUGAGAUUAGCUAGUUGGUGGGGUAAAGGCUCACCAAGGCGACGAUCUCUAGCUGGUUUGAGAGGAUGAUCAGCCACACUGGAACUGAGACACGGUCCAGACUCCUACGGGAGGCAGCAGUGGGGAAUAUUGGACAAUGGGGGCAACCCUGAUCCAGCCAUGCCGCGUGUGUGAAGAAGGCCUUCGGGUUGUAAAGCACUUUCAGCGAGGAGGAAGAGUGAUGUUUUAAUAGAGCAUCAUUUUGACGUUACUCGCAGAAGAAGCACCGGCUAACUCUGUGCCAGCAGCCGCGGUAAUACAGAGGGUGCAAGCGUUAAUCGGAAUUACUGGGCGUAAAGCGCACGCAGGCGGUUUGUUAAGUCAGAUGUGAAAUCCCCGGGCUCAACCUGGGAAUUGCAUUUGAAACUGGCAAGCUAGAGUACGAGAGAGGGGGGUAGAAUUCCACGUGUAGCGGUGAAAUGCGUAGAGAUGUGGAGGAAUACCGGUGGCGAAGGCGGCCCCCUGGCUCGAUACUGACGCUCAGGUGCGAAAGC
rnacentral:rRNA from 1 species